GAAAAAGGCAUGGAGAGCUGAAGUGACUUAGCAUUGCACAGCAGGAUUUGAACCCACCUCUGCCCAAUUCUGAGGCUCCUGCUUCCUGCCCUAUACCAUUUUGUUUCCUGUGGAGCAGAAGUCCUCGCAGAGAAUGGCUGAGGCUGAUUGGGACGCAUUAACUGGGGCUCUGGUGAGCCGACUGAGCUGAGUCCCCUGCAGUGCCUGUAU
rnacentral:lncRNA from 10 species